AGUGAAUUUGUAGCUGAUCACCUCCCUUCAAUGAUUAUAUUAGAGACAGAUAGCUUCACUAGUAAAUUCUACUAACAGUAAUAAAAGAGAGUAUACUAUUUACAUAGAAACUCAAGUAGAAAACUGAAGAGGUUUCUCAUUCAGUGAACUGACAUUACCCUGACUUAAAAAAAAAAAAAAAUUAAUGACAUUAUAAGAAGAGAAAACUACAGACUUCGGGAGCAUGGAAGAACAAAAAUCCUAAGCUAAAUCUUACCAGUUAAAUUCAACAUUUAAAAAUACAUCAUGAACAAGUGAGCAAGUGAGAUUUACCCCAGGAAUACAAGGUGAGUUUAACAAUCCAAAAUAAAUGUGACAAACUAAAAGUGAAAAGUCCCAUGAACAUCUGAGUAAAAGUAGAAAAAGCCCUUCAGCUGAGGCAGGAGAAUGGCGUGAACCCAGGAGGCCGAGCUUGCAGUGAGCCGAGAUCACUCCACUGCACUCCAGCCUGGAUGACAGAGUGAGACACUGCCUCAAAAAAAAAAAAAAAAAAAAAAAAAGUUAAACCUAUACCUACCAUAUGAUCUAGUUAUUCUGCUUCUAGACAUUUACUCAAGAUAAAUGAAAGUAUAGAUGCAAUACAAAUCCUUGUAAACAAAAGUUCAUGAGUACUUAAUUUGUGAUAGCCAAAAAGUGGAAAUAUCCCAAAUGUCUGUCAAUAGGUAAAUGGAUAAACAAGCUGGGUGUAAACAUAUUGUGGAACACUACUCAGACAUUAAAAGGAAGGAACAGUUGAUACAGGCAACAACUUUGAUAGAUCUCAAAAUAAUUAUGCUGAGUGAAUGAAGCAAGAAAAAAAAAGAGCACAUAGCACAUUAUUCCAUUUUUAUAAAUUCUAAAGAAAAUAAACUAAUUUAUAGAGAUAGGCAGAAAGCAGAUCAGUGGUUCCCCGGCCUUGGGAUGGUGGCUGAAGGAUGCUAUGGGCAAUUUGUGGAGGUCAGAUCUUUUUCAGCUAAAAACCCACCUUCCAAAGAAGAAACAGAGUACUUCCUCUAGGUGGAGAAAUGCAAAAUAAAAUUUAUAAAGGGAGCUUUUUUUUUUUUUAUGUGCAAAGCCCAACUUAUUCUUGAAAAUGUCUUGGAAGCCAUGGUGCCAAUUUACAUCCUCCUGUUUGGGAAAUGAGACAGUUUCCGAUAAGGAAGUACAGAGCAGUGGAGCUGAACAGCAGGUGCUUAUUAGUUAUAGCCGUGGCUAGAAAAGUGGCUUGAGCUUCAAACGUAAGACUCUAAAAUGAACAA
rnacentral:lncRNA from 1 species